CCUACGGGAGGCAGCAGUGAGGAAUAUUGGUCAAUGGACGCAAGUCUGAACCAGCCAUGCCGCGUGCAGGAAGACGGCUCUAUGAGUUGUAAACUGCUUUUGUACGAGGGUAAACGCAGAUACGCGUAUCUGUCUGAAAGUAUCGUACGAAUAAGGAUCGGCUAACUCCGUGCCAGCAGCCGCGGUAAUACGGAGGAUUCAAGCGUUAUCCGGAUUUAUUGGGUUUAAAGGGUGCGUAGGCGGUCGGAUAAGUUAGAGGUGAAAUCCCGAGGCUCAACUUCGGAAUUGACUCUGAUACUGUUCGGCUAGAGAGUAGUUGCGGGAGGCGGAAUGGAUGGUGUAGCGGGGAAAUGCUUAGAGAUCAUACAGAACACCGAUUGCGAAGGCAGCUUACCAAGCUACUUCUGACGUUGAGGCACGAAAGCGUGGGGAGCAAACAGGAUUAGAUACCCUUGUAGUC
rnacentral:rRNA from 1 species